rnacentral:pre_miRNA from 1 species
GUGAGAAUCACAGUGCAGUUCUCCUCUGGCAUGGAAGCCAAUGCAGCAGGCGUUAGACAACGUGCUGUAUGCUAUUGCUGUCCCUGCCAAAGGAGAAUUGCCCUGCCAUUCGGCA